AGUUUCUCCUGUGUUUCCUGGUACAUCCUCAGCCAGCUGCUCCCUCCCAAAUAUUGCAGGUAGUGGAACAUCUUGUCUGCAGAGUAAAUGACACCACUGUCACUGUGAUGCUCUUAAAUACUGUUCUUCAGUGAAGAUGUCACCCAUGUGAUCAGCCCCAGAAGAGAUGCUGUGCAGUGUCCUUGCCUGGCCACGCUCAGUCUGUGAAAGAUGCUGUGGCACAGGGGUACACAAAGGAAGGGAUUCUUCUCUCUUCUCUGCCAGAACUGCUGCAUCUUGGUUAUUUGCUAGCUCUUCAUGAUUAGACUGACCCUGUUCACAACAGCCUGACUUCCCAC
rnacentral:lncRNA from 12 species